ACCACCCUCCGGAGUCGCAAAAGACGGAAGUUGACCACGCUCGACGACCGACGCCAGAACAAAAGGGCAAAGCAAACGAAUUGAAUAUAAUUGCGUAAAAAACAUCAAAAUGUUGAAAGAAUUGGUACAGGAGCGGCUCAUGGCGGCGGCCGAUGAAAUAUUCGCGCUAUUUGAAAGAACGAUAGCGUGCUACGAGGAGGAACUUUCUCGAACGCGAGAGGAGAAGGAGCGCCAUCGACGACUGGAAACUGCUAGCCAAACUCCAAUUGGGCUUCAUGAUAUUGAAGCAGAUGUGCAGCAGCUGAUUGGUCAUCAAGACGACUAUCCCCCUCAGCUGCAAGGAUGGAUCACCACUCCGGAGCAGGAGGAUCCACAGCCCCCUCGCAUAAAAGCGGAGGAGGACGAACUCGGGAUCACUCAGGAAGGCGAGUGUCCGCUCGGGUCGAAUGGGGCUGAUCUCGCAAGUUUGCCACUGACUGGUGUCUCUGUGAAGACUGAAGAUUAUGAAGAGAAACCACCCGAGUCGUCACGGCGUUAUCACAGUCAAAGUGAGGAGAACAGAGGGGCGGAGCCUCCAUGCAGCAGCUUACUACAACACAGGACAGCAGAAAUGGACGGAGACCACUUUGGAGCUCCACUGUCAGAUAGUGACGAUCAAGGCAGGGUUGAAGUACCUUUGAGCAGCGAUACAGACUGUGAAGAUUAUGUGGGGACUCACGCGGACAACGAAUACCGUAAAUGCUCUAAAAGGAAAACAGUUGGCGCCGAAUGUUUGACCUGCUCAGUUUGUCUCAGAAGUUUUUUCUAUAAGAAAGAUUUCGCUCGACACAUGAGAACGCACACCGGGGAAAAGCCCUUUGCUUGUUCGGUUUGCGGUCAAAGAUUCGCUCAAAAUCCACACUUGAUAUCACACAUGGCAACGCACACAAGAGAAAAACCCUUUGUUUGUUCAGUUUGUGGUAAGAGAUUUACUCUCAAAUCCAAUUUGGCGGUUCACAGCAGAACGCACACAGGAGAAAAACCCUUUGUUUGUCCAGUUUGCGGAAAGCGAUUUACCCUUAAGUCCUAUUUGACUGUACACAGCAGAACACACACGGGAGAAAAACCCUUUGUUUGUUCCGUUUGCGGUAAGACGUUCUCUCAAAAGCCACACCUGAUAACGCAUAUGAGGACACACACAGGUGAAAAACCCUUCACUUGCUCAGUUUGUGGUCAGAGGUUCUCUCGGAAGUCGGCGAUGGUGAUACACAUGAGAACACACGCACAGUAUAAAACUGGUCAAGGACAGUCGGGUUCAGCCGCAUGCAAGAAAUAGAUUAGAUCAGGGGGUCACCAACCUUUUUGAAAGCAAGAGCUACUUCUUGGGUACUGAUUAAUGCGAAGGGCUACCAGUUUGAUACACACUUAAAUAAAUUGCCAGAAAUAGCCAAUUUGCUCAAAUUACCUUUAAAGGGGAACAUUAUCAGCAGACCUAUGUAAGCGUCAAUAUAUACCUUGAUGGUGCAGAAAAAAGACCAUCUAUUUUUUUAACCGAUUUCCGAACUCUAAAUGGGUGAAUUUUGGCGAAUUAAACGCCUUUUUGUUUAUCGCUCUGGAGGCGAUGACGUCAGAAUGUGACGUCGCCGAGGUAACACACCCACCAUUUUCAUUUUCAACACAUUACAAACACCGGGUCUCAGCUCUGUUAUUUUCCGUUUUUUUUGACAAUUUUUUGGAACCUUGGAGACAUCAUGCCUCGUCGGUGUGUUGUCGGAGGGUGUAACAACACUAACAGGGAGGGAUUCAAGUUGCACCACUGGCCCCAAGAUGCCAAAGUGUCUGCCGCCAGACCCCCAUUGAAUGUGCCAGAGUGUCUCCACAUUUGACCGGCGAUGCUAAGACAGACAUGGCACAGAGAUGUAUGGAUAACCUGCAGAUGCAUUUGCAACGAUAGUCAACGAAAUCACAAAGAUGUCCAGCGGCUGAUUGGUCCACAAGAAGACUAUCCCCCUCAGCCGCAAGACGGGUUCACCAUUUCAAAGCAGGAGGAGCCACAGCCCCCUCACAUUAAAGAAGAGGAGAAUGAACUCUGGAUCACU